GACGAACGCUGGCGGCGUGCUUAACACAUGCAAGUCGAGCGGUAAGGCCCUUUCGGGGGUACACGAGCGGCGAACGGGUGAGUAACACGUGGGUGACCCUGCCCUCAGCUCUGGGAUAAGCCUGGGAAACCGGGUCUAAUACCGGAUAUGACUCCAUGACGCAUGUUGUGGGGUGAAAGCCUUGUGCGGCUGAGGAUGGGCCCGCGGCCUAUCAGCUUGUUGGUGGGGUGAUGGCCUACCAAGGCGACGACGGGUAGCCGGCCUGAGAGGGCGACC
rnacentral:rRNA from 1 species